rnacentral:piRNA from 2 species
UUGCAUCUUGUUUAAAGAAUUCAGGC